rnacentral:rRNA from 1 species
CCUACGGGAGGCAGCAGUGAGGAAUAUUGGUCAAUGGACGAGAGUCUGAACCAGCCAAGUAGCGUGAAGGAUGACUGCCCUAUGGGUUGUAAACUUCUUUUAUAUGGGAAUAAAAUGUUCCACGUGUGGGAUUUUGUAUGUACCAUAUGAAUAAGGAUCGGCUAACUCCGUGCCAGCAGCCGCGGUAAUACGGAGGAUCCGAGCGUUAUCCGGAUUUAUUGGGUUUAAAGGGAGCGUAGGUGGAUUGUUAAGUCUGUUGUGAAAGUUUGCGGCUCAACCGUAAAAUUGCAGUUGAAACUGGCAGUCUUGAGUACAGUAGAGGUGGGCGGAAGUCGUGGUGUAGCGGUGAAAUGCUUAGAUAUCACGAAGAACUCCGAUUGCGAAGGCAGUUCACUGGACUGCAACUGACACUGAGGCUCGAAAGUGUGGGUAUCAAACAGGAUUAGAUACCCGAGUAGUC